UGAGCUUUUAAUUAAAUUUAAAAGAUAACCUCAAAACAAUUGCCUAAUGAGCCCCAAACAAGCAUCGCCAUUUUGUAAGCGUCCUCUUAUUUCCGUCGUUUUUGCAGUUUUUCCAGGAAAUUCAUGGAUAUGGAAGGUAAAAUUCCGUUUAAAAUGUCUUUGACGCAAUAUGGGGUUGGAUGAACAUUCCGGUUGAAACGACCACUAAUCCUUAAAUUGAUGACUUUUAAUACUUAAUAAUGGUUUCGUAUCACUUCUGUGUCUCUCCUGGAAGAAAAUAAAAGUGAGCAACCUCAAAGAUCAUGAUGUAAAGGCACAAAAUAGGUGAUGAGCAGAGCCACGACGUUUCGGGCUGGUGAUGUCACCAUCUGUAUAGAGCAGCGAACGGGUUAUAGCGUAGUAGUAACAUGCUUCUAUCCAGCACAUCGAUGUGUCGCAACGUAAUGAUACAGGUUGAAUACAGGCCCAUGUAAAAUUUGGAAGGUUCUCUUUGGUGCAGCGUUCAAUACGUGUUUGGCUGAUUGUCUGACUAUAACUCAACCAGUGGUGUGGUAUAACUCUACCGUAAGGCGACGAGCCGCCAAUGAGUUGCCCGAUAACGUCGCCGCUCUGAUGAUGAGAGAUAGGGAGUUGAACGAGGACACUAAAUAGAAGAGUAUUGGUAUUGGGAAUGCAGCACCCUGUCUGAUUGAUGUACAUUUUAAUUAUUUUAUUGUAUUGUACUUGAUUGAUCUCAAAUAAACGAUGAAAAUUGC